rnacentral:rRNA from 1 species
GACGAACGCUGGCGGCGUGCUUAACACAUGAAAGUCGAACGGAAAGGCCCUGCUUUUGUGGGGUGCUCGAUUGGCUAACGGGUGAGUAACGCGUGAGUAACCUGCCCUUGACUUUGGGAUAACUUCAGGAAACUGGGGCUAAUCCCGGAUAGUAGCUCCUGCUGCAUGGUGGGGGUUGGAAAGUUUCGGCGGUUGGGGAUGGACUCGCGGCUUAUCAGCUUGUUGGUGGGGUAUUGGCUUACCAAGGCUUUGACGGGUAGCCGGCCUGAGAGGGUGACCGGCCACAUUGGGACUGAGAUACGGCCCAGACUCAGACGGGAGGCAGCAGUGGGGAAUAUUGCACAAUGGGCGGAAGCCUGAUGAAGCAACGCCGCGUGCGGGAUGACGGCCUUCGGGUUGUAAACCGCUUUCGCCUGUGACGAAGCGUGAGUGACGGUAAUGGGUAAAGAAGCACCGGAUAACUACGUG